UACAUGGGGUGCAAGCGUUAAUCGGAAUUACUGGGCGUAAAGGGCGCGUAGGCGGCUGCGUAAGUGAAGUGUGAAAUCCCCGGGCUUAACCUGGGAACUGCAUUUUAGACUGCGUAGCUGGAGUGCGAUAGAGGGUAGUGGAAUUUCCGGUGUAGCGGUGAAAUGCGUAGAUAUCGGAAGGAACACCAGUGGCGAAGGCGGCUACCUGGAUCGACACUGACACUGAGGCGCGAGAGCGUGGGGAGCAAACGGG
rnacentral:rRNA from 1 species